rnacentral:rRNA from 1 species
UACAGAGGUCUCAAGCGUUGUUCGAUUCAUUGGGCGUAAAGGGUGCGUAGGCGGCGCGGUAAGUCGGGUGUGAAAUCUCGGAGCUUAACUCCGAAACUGCAUUCGAUACUGCCGUGCUUGAGGACUGGAGAGGAGACUGGAAUUUACGGUGUAGCGGUGAAAUGCGUAGAUAUCGUAAGGAAGACCAGUGGCGAAGGCGGGUCUCUGGACAGUUCCUGACGCUGAGGCACGAAGGUCAGGGGAGCAAACGGG